GAUGCCUCUCCUGGAGUGACCUACCAACGUUUUUAUGUUUUGGAAAUUGCCAGAGAUGAGAACAAGAGGAAAGUGUCUAUAAUCGAGCGUUUCCAAAAAUCGUUUGAUACUCCUGAAACUGCUGACUUUGCAUUCAUCGUCGAGGGGAAGAAAAUCCACGUGCACAAGAAUCUUUUAACCAUCGGCAGCGACGUGUUCAAGGAAUUUGUUCCUGGGAGAUUGGAAGGACAGUUGCCAAAAGGAGCAGAUUGUUGAGAAACAUAGCUACGACGCUGUCUACGCGUUCCUCAAAUACUUCUACACAGACCAAGUUCAUUUUAAGCCUGAACUUGCCAUUGGUAUAAA